UACGGGGGGGGCAAGCGUUGUUCGGAUUUACUGGGCGCAAAGCGCGCGUAGGCGGGUCACUAAGUCAGGGGUGAAAUCCCGAGGCUUAACCUCGGAACUGCCUUUGAUACUGGUGACCUGGAGAUCGGGAGAGGUUGGUGGAAUUCCGAGUGUAGAGGUGAAAUUCGUAGAUAUUCGGAGGAACACCAGAAGCGAAGGCGGCCAACUGGCCCGAUACUGACGCUGAGGCGCGAAAGCGUGGGGAGCAAACAGG
rnacentral:rRNA from 1 species